ensembl:lncRNA
CACUUUUGUGGUGCAUUUUGUCCCUAUUGGAGUUUAAUAUCAUCCGUCCUUAUUCAUUUUUUUUUUUUCUGUGGAAGAAAGACAAAUCGUUUUGGAAUGGCAUACAGGUAAAUGAUGAUUUUUUAUUAGUGUACUAUAGCUUUAAGAAAAAGGCUGUUACUGAAGUCUCUCCAAAAGCAUGCAGCAUUGCAUUAGAUGCAAUACGUUUCCAAUUAGAUGUGUCAGUAAGAAUGCAGUUAAAGGUAUUCAUGUUUUCCUUUAUCAAACAGAUCAGACUUCAUUUUGAGACAUUUACUGAGCCCAGGCACAACUGUUUAUUUCACUUCUACACAACAGACUGUGAAAAACCAGGACAACAAAUAACAGCCCAUCUCUCCAGACCAAAAUGAGUGUUUCACCAUGGGUGGAGGAGAAGGACAAUGGUGUCUCCUAUUCUCCAGAUAACCGCUCAGUGGAAGCAGAUUGGGACGCGUCCCGGCGGAGGGACGUUGUGGCUGUCACAGAGACGAACUGUGAGGAACAGAGGAGCAAGAGAGAAAGUGAAAGAUGGCACCAGAGACCUAAUCAAGUCUGAAUCUCAUCUUGGAUGCGGGGAACAGUCUCAGUUUUGUAAAGGGCCGCAGUGAAUCAAACAUUCACUAAGGGCCUCACAGACGGCCGACCGAGGCACAGCCGACAGCUGAAGUCACAACCUCCAUCUCCAGACUCCCAGUGAGCAAAUUAGGACAUCAUUUUCUCCAAAAGGCCACCGACAUUUCACAGAAAUCAAUAAGGAAGCUAUCAGAAAAGAUGCCAUUGACUGAAUCUCCUAAACCUCUGCAGCUGCUGGAUCCAGAAGCCAAACUACUGUGUGUUACUAAAUUGGAGUUAUAAUAAAGUUUAUUUCUUGUUCA